UACGUAGGGGCCGAGCGUUGUCCGGAGUUACUGGGCGUAAAGCGCGCGCAGGCGGCCACUUAAGCCCGGCGUGAAAGCCCCCGGCUCAACCGGGGAGGGUCGUCGGGGACUGGGUGGCUUGAGGACGGCAGGGGCUGGUGGAAUCCCCGGUGUAGUGGUGAAAUGCGUAGAGAUCGGGGGAACACCCGUGGCGAAGGCGGCCAGCUGGGCCGGUCCUGACGCUGAGGCGCGAAGGCGUGGGGAGCGAACGGG
rnacentral:rRNA from 1 species